GAAAGAGGUGAUGUGCUAUGUUAAAGCAUAUAUGGAUGCUAAAAGUUCCUUUUUUAGUUGGCAUAUGCAGUUCGGCUGUAUUAGAUGGUAGAAUUUUUUACUCGCAAACAUUGCACAUGUGAAGGGUCUUGGCCUCAAAUUGACUCCAACUUUGGCAAGACAUAUAAAUAAGCUGCUUGAUUUGCCUUUUGAAGCCAUCAAUGGGGUAUCCACCGGAGGAUAAGGGCCACUUAUUAUGAUGGAAGUGGGCUGGGCUGGCUGGAGGAAAUGACUUGAAAUGUGGCUGAGCAGUAAACACCAAUCGGGAUGGCAACAUGGAUAUUUUUGGACACGCAAAUCUGAAUGGUAUCUUGAUUGUGCGAGGACUUUUCUUGCAGAUUUGGUACUUGUGGUAGGUUUUUACACGGAGGAGCCCCAAAAGGCUUGAGUGGAGGUGGAAUGAUUUGUAAUGAGAAAAUGACAGCGGACCUAGUCCUUGGAAUCUCUGAGUAGAAUCCUUAACAAACCGAAAAUCAUGAAGCGGUCGUGUUGUGUUGUCUUGUUCAUUCCCGUGGCCAGAAAAUGGUUUAGAAUUGUCAUAUAACAAGUUCAAUCUGUCUUUUGAUUGAAGGAAUAUUAGAAGUAGAAGAACAAUUUGUUGAUUGACUUGUAUGGAUUGAAAAGAUUUGUUAGAUGCAUAAUAAAUUAAUUCAUGUCCAUCAUAAGGUUUGUUGGAUCAUGCUUUGAAAGGUCUAUUAAUAUAAGCCUAUUUUAAGAGUUAUCAAUUGAGUCAUCUAUUCUUGGGUUUAACAAAUCAGGUUUUAACCAUCUCAUUUGACGAUGAAUUGGUCUUUGACGAAGAUUCAAAUUAUAGAUUUAUUCUAAGAGUGGCAACAUUGCACUCCAAUUGGGUUGGGACGAAUGGUUUGAUUACUUGGCCAGGGCUCCCCCGGUCGCCAACUCACCAUAUGCAUUGAUCCCUACUGUUUAAUAUAGUGAGUUGACAAACGUAAAGUCAAGUCAUCACAUGGAACAACGAAAUGGAAGGAACAGCUUAAUUGAUGGGCAAUUUAUUUGAUCGAUUCAAACUGGGCGAGCAAACUUAAAAAUGUAGACUGAGACACAACGUGGAAGAGAUACCAACUCAGCAAUAAUUGAACUCCAACUACAAGAGAGCAGCAAAAUAUCUUCCCAUAAAAUUGACAUUGAGGGGGAAGCAGUUGAUUUUUCUGUGGACCUCCUUCAUUCCUGAAACUACCCAACCAUAGGAGGAGCCAACUCCCAAGUAACCCCAAAGGUCGGAUUUCAAGCCCACUGGCUAAUGAGGCUUUCCAAGUUGUAUCGUUUUGUUUUAAAUUUUAGUGAACUAUAUGACCCGAUUAGGUUUGUUUGAUUGAGCAGCAUAUUAGCUACACCAGAAAAUGCCAAGAAAAUGGGCAAUCAGUUAGACGUUUACGGUAUAUAUAUUGACAUCCGUGUGGUGUGAUGUGAUGUAUGAUCACCAUUUGAAAGAAGGAAACAAAAACUUAUAAAGAUAGGUUAAAUUAGUGGUUGGGAUUAGUAAGUUGCAUACAGUUCAGAAAUUUGAGGUCAUGCAUUUCAAAAUCAAUGGCUGCAGGCUGUGUAGAAAGAAGAGGAAAGAAAGGUCAUCACUCUUUAAUAAAUAAAGGGCAAAUUUAGCGCACCUAAGUUGAGCAUUGCAAAUUUUGCGGUUGAAUUUGAUUGUGAAGUUUGUUUUGAAUUCAACUUUAUCCCAAGUUGGGAAUUGUUUGUUAGCUUAACGAAGUCGUAUUGAAAAAGGGAGAAGAUGAACUGCUUAGUGCUUAACUUAAAAGUUAAAGGAAUGAAUGGGUGGUUGGUUGGCUAGCGUGGAGUGGAAGCGAAGUCCAGGUCAGGAAGAGCGUGGGAGGGCGCCCAAAAUGGGCCCCAACUCCAUCUUCGCUUCAUCCUUACGCUAGCUCUCCCACUCUCCCACUUUCUUCUUUCUUUUGACUUAACCUUUUUUUUAAUCUCCAGUCUCCCUCAUCAAGCUUUCCUCUCUCUUUCUCCGCCCUUCAUUUGCGGGCUCACCUUCGGAAUCUCCCCAAAAUCCAAUUUCCAUCUGUUCGUGUAAAAACCCAAAAAGAAAACAGAGCCGCAAUUCACGAAUCCAUGUCCUGCUCACCCCCCACUUUCCUCGCUCUAAAUCACAUGAUUCCCCCACUUUCCCUUUUCCCAUUUUACCCUUCUCUCCCUUUAUUUAAUCAUGCUUUUCUUUCAACCAACCCCAAACUUCUUUUUGGUGUCUUCUGCAAUCUUAUAAAUGAUGAUUAACUCAGCACAACAAAUUCAAAUAUAAAAAAAAUGCAGGGAGCGGCAUUAAAUGUUAAUAUAUUAUUUUAUAUAAAAAAAAUAAAAAAAAAAGGAAAGCUGAGGAUAAGGUCGAGGAGGCUGCCGUCGGAAUAACUUUUCCCAACCCGAAUUCAUUAAUCUAACUCGGCUAGUUUUAACUUGAAGUAACACUAGCGACAAGAUUUAUUAUCGUAAGACGAGGUUAGAUGGGGUUGGUUUGGAUAAGAAUGAUGUACCUAGGAUUAUACUAUCCUACUUGUGAGCAAUAUGAGCAAUACUGCUGCGUCGCCGUCAAGUUCGGAUGUUUUUAAUGUUGCAAAAUGCUAUAUAAAACGAAAAUCAAGUGUUUACUUUUCACCAUCUAUCAUUCCAAUUAAAUCCUAAUCGAGGAUCUCUGAUCUAUCCGCUGUUGAUGAUUUGAUAUCCGACGGUCCGAUUUGCUUGCUUUGUACUUACUAUGAUAGUACUAGAAUACAGGAUCAAUGCGCCCACCGAAUUAUGAUUAAAUUUCGGUGGGAGAUGGCAGGCGUGCCAACGUUAUUAGAAAGAACAAAAAUGUAUUUAACUCCAAGAGGGAACAGGGACACCGUAUUAGAGUCAACCAAAUUUGCAUCCAAUCUGAAUCUGACGCGUGUAAAGUUGGGCUGUGGACGGACACCUGCCGGUCACUCAAAGGAUUGUGGCAUACGUGUCGCUUGGGCAUUGGUGAUCGCUCAUCGAUCGGAGGCCCAUUGAAGUUGACGAGGUGAGGGGUGAGUGAUGAUUAAGUAAAGAAAAAUGGUAGUUGGAGAGAGAAAACACAUGGGGUAGGGGUUAUAUAAAGAGGGAGGGAGUCGCCUUAAUAUUCAGAGUGAAAAAAAGCGAGGCCACAACUGAAAGAGCGAUAGAUAAUCUCCGCUCCCCCUUGUUUCUGCAGCAGUGUUUGAUCUUCUCUCUCUUUCUCCCCCUCUCUGUAGCUCCCCGCUUCUCUGAAUCCCUUUCUGUCGUCGUCUGUCUUUCAACUACUUAUUUGGGGUUUGUUUUUAAACCGAAUUUAAUCUAAAAGAGGAAGCAAACUCACGAGGGUGUUUUUGAAAGUCGGGUGAUUCAGAAUAGAGAUCCAGGAUUUUUUUCUCCUGUUUGUGUAAAGUUUUUGUUUUAAUUUGAUCAGAAAUCAGAACAACUGAGAGGGUUAUUUUUCUUCCCUCUGGUUGAUUUUGGUGACUUCUUUGGCUCUUUGUUUGUGCCAAAAAAAAAAAAAAAAAAUCGUUUGGUUUUUCUUGUUUUCUCCGAGUACCUGUUCUUUAAUUUUGGUAAGAAACAGGUUGGCUUUGACAAGGUUUUUCAGAUUUUAUUUUCUUCCAAUUUGUUUUUGUAGUCGAAGUAUUGUUUUUUUCCUCGACUUUGUUGGGAAGGCAUGGCAGCGGCAAUAGAUAUAUACAGUAGCAGCAGGACAGUCUUCUCAGAAAGAGAAGAACUUAUGAAAGCACUUGAACCUUUUAUGAAAGGUGCUUCAUCAACCUCUUCUUUAACUUCUCCUUAUCCCUAUCCCUCUACUUCAUCUCUCUCUCCUCCUUCUACUUCUUCUUCUUCUCUUCCCUUCUUCUCUUAUCCUCCAGACUCUACACAGCCCAACAUGUACCCUGAUUUUUGCUCGACAUCGACAACCCACGUGUUUUCUCAAGGGUUCUCAGGUUACGACCAAAUGGGUCUUGAGCAAACAGGUUCAAUCGGGCUAAACCACAUCACCCCAGCUCAGAUUCUCCAAAUUCAAGCCCAAAUCCAGUUCCAACAGCAGCAGCAGCAACGCAUGGCUGCCGUGGCUACAGCUUCAUCCAUCCAGAACCAGAGGCUAAGCCAAUGGCAGCAGCAACAGCAACAGCAGCAACAUACCCUAAACUUCCUCGGCCCCAAAGCCAUCCCCAUGAAGCAGGUUGGAACUCCCCCGAAACCAGCUAAGCUCUAUCGAGGAGUGAGACAGCGGCAUUGGGGAAAAUGGGUUGCGGAGAUCAGACUUCCUAAGAACCGUACCCGCCUGUGGCUUGGCACUUUCGAUACUGCAGAAGAAGCGGCUUUGGCCUAUGAUAAGGCCGCUUUUAAGCUCAGGGGAGAGUUCGCCAGGCUCAAUUUCCCAAAUCUCCGGCACCAAGGGUCACUUGUUGCAGGCGAAUUCGGGGACUACAAGCCUCUCCACUCCUCAGUGGAUGCGAAGCUUCAAGCCAUUUGCCAAAACUUGGCUAUUUCGCAGAAACAGGGGAAUUCAAGGAAGGCCUGCCUAGUCUCCGAUGNNNNNNNNNNNNNNNNNNNNNNNNNNNNNNNNNNNNNNNNNNNNNNNNNNNNNNNNNNNNNNNNNNNNNNNNNNNNNNNNNNNNNNNNNNNNNNNNNNNNAUACUGCUGCGUCGCCGUCAAGUCGGAUGUUUUAAUGUUGCAAAAUGCUAUAUAAAACGAAAAUCAAGUGUUUACUUUUCACCAUCUAUCAUUCCAAUUAAAUCCUAAUCGAGGAUCUCUGAUCUAUCCGCUGUUGAUGAUUUGAUAUCCGACGGUCCGAUUUGCUUGCUUUGUACUUACUAUGAUAGUACUAGAAUACAGGAUCAAUGCGCCCACCGAAUUAUGAUUAAAUUUCGGUGGCAGAUGGCAGGCGUGCCAACGUUAUUAGAAAGAACAAAAAUGUAUUUAACUCCAAGAGGGAACAGGGACACCGUAUUAGAGUCAACCAAAUUUGCAUCCAAUCUGAAUCUGACGCGUGUAAAGUUGGGCUGUGGACGGACACCUGCCGGUCACUCAAAGGAUUGUGGCAUACGUGUCGCUUGGGCAUUGGUGAUCGCUCAUCGAUUGGAGGCCCAUUGAAGUUGACGAGGUGAGGGGUGAGUGAUGAUUAAGUAAAGAAAAAUGGUAGUUGGAGAGAGAAAACACAUGGGGCAGGGGUUAUAUAAAGAGGGAAGGAGUUGCCUUAAUAUUCAGAGUGAAAAAAAGCGAGGCCACAACUGAAAGAGCGAUAGAUAAUCUCCGCUCCCGCUUGUUUCUGCAGCAGUGUUUGAUCUUCUCUCUCUUUCUCCCCCCCUCUGUAGCUCCCCGCUUCUCUGAAUCCCUUUCUGUCGUCGUCUGUCUUUCAACUACUUAUUUGGGGUUUGUUUUUAAACCGAAUUUAAUCUAAAAGAGGAAGCAAACUCACGAGGGUGUUUUUGAAAGUCAGGUGAUUCAGAAUAGAGAUCCAGGAUUUUUUUCUCCUGUUUGUGUAAAGUUUUAGUUUUAAUUUGAUCAGAAAUCAGAACAACUGAGAGGGUUAUUUUUCUUCCCUCUGGUUGAUUUUGGUGACCUCUUUGGCUCUUUGUUUGUGCCAAAAAAAAAAAAAAAAAAAAAUCGUUUGGUUUUUCUUGUUUUCUCCAAGUACCUGUUCUUUAAUUUUGGUAAGAAACAGGUUGGCUUUGACAAGGUUUUUCAGAUUUUAUUUUCUUCCAAUUUGUUUUUGUAGUCGAAGUAUUGUUUUUUUCCUCGACUUUGUUGGGAAGGCAUGGCAGCGGCAAUAGAUAUAUACAGUAGCAGCAGGACAGUCUUCUCAGAAAGAGAAGAACUUAUGAAAGCACUUGAACCUUUUAUGAAAGGUGCUUCAUCAACCUCUUCUUUAACUUCUCCUUAUCCCUAUCCCUCUACUUCAUCUCUCUCUCCUCCUUCUACUUCUUCUUCUUCUCUUCCCUUCUUCUCUUAUCCUCCAGACUCUACACAGCCCAACAUGUACCCUGAUUUUUGCUCGACAUCGACAACCCACAUGUUUUCUCAAGGGUUCUCAGGUUACGACCAAAUGGGUCUUGAGCAAACACGUUCAAUCGGGCUAAACCACAUCACCCCAGCUCAGAUUCUCCAAAUUCAAGCCCAAAUCCAGUUCCAACAGCAGCAGCAGCAACGCAUGGCUGCCGUGGCUACAGCUUCAUCUAUCCAGAACCAGAGGCUAAGCCAAUGGCAGCAGCAACAUAACCUAAACUUCCUCGGCCCCAAAGCCAUCCCCAUGAAGCAGGUUGGAACUCCCCCGAAACCAGCUAAGCUCUAUCGAGGAGUGAGACAGCGGCAUUGGGGAAAAUGGGUUGCGGAGAUCAGACUUCCUAAGAACCGUACCCGCCUGUGGCUUGGCACUUUCGAUACUGCAGAAGAAGCGGCUUUGGCCUAUGAUAAGGCCGCUUUUAAGCUCAGGGGAGAGUUCGCCAGGCUCAAUUUCCCAAAUCUCCGGCACCAAGGGUCACUUGUUGCAGGCGAAUUCGGG
rnacentral:lncRNA from 1 species